GUCUCUAAUGAUGUUAGAAUCAUAAAAACUUUCGUUCUUCUGAGAAUAUAUCCUUGCGGAAGAAUUAUGGAGACUUGAACUGGAGAU